UCAAUCAACAGAUAUGUAAAACGUCUUGCGCGAGAUCACGGAAAGGAUGUGAAUUACGUUGCGGAAUUAAGUAGCAUCUAGACUUGACUCCCAAGUUCGUACCAUGCUCACAAGAUCAAAGUAGCUGCUGCUGCUUGGGUAUUGGACUUAAAAGUGAGAAAUAGCUUUGCUACUUGCUCUGGAGUCAAGUUUGAUCCAGCUGAGUCAAUUGGAGCUUUGAAAGUUUUCAUGAGGGCAGAAUCAUCCGUCCGAUCCCUCAAAAGUAAAAUCAGACGGAGCCAGGAUAUGGGAAAACUGGCUUGCAUGUUGGAAGAAAACUGAACGUGAAAGUCGCCUCAGCAAAGGAGGAAAGAUGCAUGCUUUCUUUCAUAAGUGCCCAAAGACAAGGAUUUAUCGCAUCACUGGAUGUAAAAUAGACAGAAUGAACAGAAAAUUAUUCAUAGGAACUUUGCUGCUGUCUGAACGCACGCUCUCGUGUCCUUGCGAUGUUUGCCUGCCUUUACCGUGCUACUUUCCGCUCCUCCUGGGCUGUCAGCAAGUUCCUGCAGGCUCUGAAGGCCUAGAUUCCUGCAAACUGUAGGAUUAAAAUGUAAACAGUCACAUCCUGGUGUGAAUUAGUGCUGACCCAAAGCAUUCAAAGCUCAUGCAUUUGAAUAUGUUUUCUAUCUAAGGUUACCAAUGGCUAGUCAUAAUUUUUCAAGAAACAAAACUCUUCGGUUCACUGAGAGAGUGCCAUAAAAUCUGUCAAAACCAGGGAUCAGGGCAGCUCCACAGAAACUUACAGCAAAGACCAGUGACUCUCCUCCCCCGCCCCCAAUCUUUUUAAGCUCUGAAUCAGUAGUAGGCCUCGAAACUGAGAUAUAUGUGUUCAGAUUCAGCUUUUAGGUAAUGAAUCAAAGACUGAGCUCAUUGUUAAGCCAUGGACCCAUCUGUAUUUUAUGACUUCCAGAGAUACAUACAUAAGGCAUCCCAAAUCAGAUAGUCACUUGUGGCUUCCCUAGUGUUCACCCUCACUUGCUUACUCCUUACCAAAGUACUAAGCACUCUUAGCUGUUGCUGUGCAAUUUCCUGGCUAAAGGAGCUCUGGAAUGUAAAACUGUAUUCAUCACCAGACGUUUUGCCAGAUUCCAGGACUUCAGUGAAGCGGUAAAAGAUCAUUUAAAAUUGGAAUGGCAUGGAGAGUCCUCUGAGUGUUCAGUCAAUUUUAGAUAACUCAACCAACAAGAAACUAACCCUUAAAGAGCACCUGAAUGAUCUGGGAUUUAAGCCUCAAAAAUUGUACCAGGUUGUAAUUACUAAAAUAUCUGCACUACCCCCACACACUGUGAUUCUUUACUGUAAGCUUCUUGAUACAAGAGGUGAAGGGCCAAGUGGUAUGUGGGAACAUCUCUAGUAUGAUGCUUUAACCAUUUAUCCAGAAUUAAUCAACUGAAAUAUAUAGCUAAAUACUGAGAAAUGGUUUUGCAGAAACAGUAAAUGCAUAAGGUGGAUUUUUGAUUUCAACUGACAAAACUGCAGAUGCUACUAGGAUAGAACAAAUGUAAUUUGAAGGCAGGUUUGCUAAAACAAAGCAGUUUUAGUUUGCUAGAAUGGCAGUCCUGGUUCUUAUCCCUGUGCUCAGCCUCAUUCGAGGUGGGGGAGUCUUAGCAAAUUGGAUUGGGUUGAAUCCCUUCAUGUAAACUGGCCAAGAUUUAAACCAUUUCUGCAGGACGGUAAGAAAGGCAUGUUGAUGUUAAAUAUGCUCCAGACGUAAUGUGCUACUUUUGUAUGUUUUGGAGCUGGUUCUAGUUUUCUUUGCAAUAGCUUUUAUGUGCCGCCUAACAUAGCGAUAGGUAAGACCGGAAUGAGGCCUUGCUGUUCACCACCAGUCAGGUGUUUCAGCCCUUUCAUCAUUUUGCUGCUUGGGUUUUCUGGCAAUGAAACCCCCUAAAACUAGUUGGGGAAUCGAAGGACUCUUGCUGCUGUGCAGUCUGACAUGCUUUUUUUGCAUGUUCAUUUAGAGAAAACAUUGACUAUGGUGCCUCCCAGAUUUGCAUCCGGAAACACAUUUUCCACUGCUUUAAUCCACUUGAGACAAAAUGGACUUAAAAGGAGAUUGUUCUGAUUUGGAAGUGUUUUAUGUACACUCUGCAGAGCCGUACAAGCUUAUACAAUAUGUAGGGCAGUGAUGAAUCACGGUCUGUCGUCUUCAUUGCUUCACACCACUAUAACAACAUUAAUUUUGCUGGACUGACUUUUGAUUUACUGGGUGAGAAACCUCCAAGCAAUAAUAUGUUGACCCACUAUCGCCUUCAGUUUUGCUUGCUAUUGCUAUGUCUUCUCAGUGAGCCCUUUGGCAGAGGAACUUUAUAAUUGUGUAUAUUAUGUCAAGAGGAGUGUCAAGAGGAUGAGGCCAAUCUCUUCUCCGUGGUGCCCAGCAACAGGACAAGAGGCAACGGGCAGAAACUGAACCACAGGAAGUUCCAUCUGAACCUGAGAAAAAACUUCUUCCCUGUGAGGGUGACAGAGCAUUGGAACAGGUUGCUCAGAGAGGUGGUGGAGUCUCCUUCGCUGGAGAUAUUCAAAACCCGUCUGGAUGUGAUCCUGGGCAAUAUGCUCUAGGUGACCCUGCUGGAGCAGGGAGGUUGGACUAGAUGAUCUCCAGAGGUCCCUUCCAACCUCAACGAUUCUGUGAUUCUGUGAUAUGUGAUUACAGGAUUUUGUGUGUGUGUGUGUGUGGUUUUUUUUUUUUUUUUCCCCCCAAUCCUUAUCUGACUACUAAGACUUAGAGACUUGUAAUCAGUUUUCUCCAUAUAUAUGAUAAUUCUUCAAGACAUUCAUAAGCUCAAGUUUCUUCCAUGUAGGCUGAGGCCAAUUAGUCUAUAUUUGCUAGAGCAGAUUAGAGGGGUGGAGGGAUGAUUGCAGGUAGCUAAGCUAUUACAUCAUAGCAAGUUACUGUCCCUCAGCUGAGAUGUAGCUUCUGGUGAUUUCACAUACCCUUUUGUUCCCCAUGCGUUGUGCCAGCCCUGGUAUUUGGGGAUUUGAUCUGGCUGAAAAACAGCCAGGAAAAAUCUCAGAUGGCUCAGUUCCCUGAUCCCUUCCAUUAUCUACCUGCACAAAUAGCCGUACUGGCACAGUGCAGGGGGUGGCUCAGGAGCAGAGGUACACAGCAGGGGAAGAACCAUCAAUGCCCAUACUGCUGUCAAAGAGUAAAUCGUUAAGGUAUGCCCCACCAAAGCUGGAGCGCUCACUUUACUCUGUCUGAAGUGGAGGAAAAUGAGGUUCUUAAAUGAUUGCUCUAAAAUCAAUUGCUUAACAGAGUCGGUCUUUGAGGCUAGGGCCUGGUGCCAGGCUUCUUCCCACAGAACACAAGAGACCCUUUUGAGGUGUAAGAAAAUAACCCUUCCCCCCCCCCUUACUGGAAAGGGGCCAUAAGAAUUUAUUCUGAGUACAAGGCAAGAUGGAGCCUUCCCUGGAAAAAAAAAAAACUGAGCGCUUUCUCUGCUUUGAGUGCUUAUAACGCAAAUAAAAUGAUCUGCGUUUCACUCA
ensembl:lncRNA